rnacentral:rRNA from 1 species
GACGAACGCUGGCGGCGUGCUUAACACAUGCAAGUCGAACGGAAAGGCCCUGCUUUUGUGGGGUGCUCGAGUGGCGAACGGGUGAGUAACACGUGAGUAACCUGCCCUUGACUUUGGGAUAACUUCAGGAAACUGGGGCUAAUACCGGAUAGGAGCUCCUGCUGCAUGGUGGGGGUUGGAAAGUUUCGGCGGUUGGGGAUGGACUCGCGGCUUAUCAGCUUGUUGGUGGGGUAGUGGCUUACCAAGGCUUUGACGGGUAGCCGGCCUGAGAGGGUGACCGGCCACAUUGGGACUGAGAUACGGCCCAGACUCCUACGGGAGGCAGCAGUGGGGAAUAUUGCACAAUGGGCGGAAGCCUGAUGCAGCAACGCCGCGUGCGGGAUGACGGCCUUCGGGUUGUAAACCGCUUUCGCCUGUGACGAAGCGUGAGUGACGGUAAUGGGUAAAGAAGCACCGGCUAACUACGUGCCAGCAGCCGCGGUGAUACGUAGGGUGCGAGCGUUGUCCGGAUUUAUUGGGCGUAAAGGGCUCGUAGGUGGUUGAUCGCGUCGGAAGUGUAAUCUUGGGGCUUAACCCUGAGCGUGCUUUCGAUACGGGUUGACUUGAGGAAGGUAGGGGAGAAUGGAAUUCCUGGUGGAGCGGUGGAAUGCGCAGAUAUCAGGAGGAACACCAGUGGCGAAGGCGGUUCUCUGGGCCUUCCCUGACGCUGAGGAGCGAAAGGCGUGGGGAGCGAACAGGCUUAGAUACCCUGGUAGUCCACGCUGUAAACGGUGGGUACUAGGUGUGGGGUCCAUUCCACGGGUUCCGUGCCGUAGCUAACGCUUUAAGUACCCCGCCUGGGGAGUACGGCCGCAAGGCUAAAACUCAAAGGAAUUGACGGGGCCCCGCACAAGCGGCGGAGCAUGCGGAUUAAUUCGAUGCAACGCGUAGAACCUUACCUGGGUUUGACAUGGAUCGGGAGUGCUCAGAGAUGGGUGUGCCUCUUUUGGGGUCGGUUCACAGGUGGUGCAUGGCUGUCGUCAGCUCGUGUCGUGAGAUGUUGGGUUAAGUCCCGCAACGAGCGCAACCCUUGUUCACUGUUGCCAGCACGUUAUGGUGGGGACUCAGUGGAGACCGCCGGGGUCAACUCGGAGGAAGGUGGGGAUGACGUCAAGUCAUCAUGCCCCUUAUGUCCAGGGCUUCACGCAUGCUACAAUGGCUGGUACAGAGAGUGGCGAGCCUGUGAGGGUGAGCGAAUCUCGGAAAGCCGGUCUCAGUUCGGAUUGGGGUCUGCAACUCGACCUCAUGAAGUCGGAGUCGCUAGUAAUCGCAGAUCAGCAACGCUGCGGUGAAUACGUUCCCGGGGCU